AGAGUUUGAUCCUGGCUCAGAACGAACGCUGGCGGCAGGCUUAACACAUGCAAGUCGAGCGCCUUGGCAACAAGGAGCGGCAGACGGGUGAGUAACGCGUGGGAAUCUACCCAACCCUACGGAACAACUCCGGGAAACUGGAGCUAAUACCGUAUACGCCCUUCGGGGGAAAGAUUUAUCGGGGAUGGAUGAGCCCGCGUUGGAUUAGCUAGUUGGUGGGGUAAAGGCCUACCAAGGCGACGAUCCAUAGCUGGUCUGAGAGGAUGAUCAGCCACAUUGGGACUGAGACACGGCCCAAACUCCUACGGGAGGCAGCAGUGGGGAAUAUUGGACAAUGGGCGCAAGCCUGAUCCAGCCAUGCCGCGUGAAUGAUGAAGGCCUUAGGGUUGUAAAGUUCUUUCACCGGAGAAGAUAAUGACGGUAUCCGGAGAAGAAGCCCCGGCUAACUUCGUGCCAGCAGCCGCGGUAAUACGAAGGGGGCUAGCGUUGUUCGGAAUUACUGGGCGUAAAGCGCACGUAGGCGGAUAUUUAAGUCAGGGGUGAAAUCCCAGAGCUCAACUCUGGAACUGCCUUUGAUACUGGGUAUCUUGAGUAUGGAAGAGGUAAGUGGAAUUGCGAGUGUAGAGGUGAAAUUCGUAGAUAUUCGCAGGAACACCAGUGGCGAAGGCGGCUUACUGGUCCAUAACUGACGCUGAGGUGCGAAAGCGUGGGGAGCAAACAGGAUUAGAUACCCUAGUAGUCC
rnacentral:rRNA from 1 species